UCUUUUCUAAAUUCUCACAACACAACCAUAAACAUAAAGACGACGAGAGGCAUCAGUAUGACCUAUACAAGUAUUUGUCAUCUAACGCAUCCGUCUUUUGUUUUGACCAAUGCGUCAACGCAUCGUCGCCGACCUCCUAAUAACAAACAGAUGUCAGUCAGUGAAGGAGAACUUCAUGUAGCCUUCAUAUGUCGGAAGAAAGAAACAAGUACGUACUCCACAGUCCACGCCGCUUUUGAAUUCCGUGGUGAAUUAUCUGGACACCAAACCUUACUAUAACAUUCAAGUAAUAAAUACGGACAUAAUCGGCAACCA
rnacentral:misc_RNA from 1 species